CCUACGUGCGGCAGCAGUGAGGAAUAUUGGUCAAUGGGCUUACGCCUGAACCAGCCAAGUCGCGUGAGGGAAGACUGCCCUAUGGGUUGUAAACCUCUUUUGUCAGGGAGCAACGCCGGCUACGUGUAGCCGGACUGAGAGUACCUGAAGAAAAAGCAUCGGCUAACUCCGUGCCAGCAGCCGCGGUAAUACGGAGGAUGCGAGCGUUAUCCGGAUUUAUUGGGUUUAAAGGGUGCGUAGGCGGAAUGCCAAGUCAGCGGUAAAAUCGCGGGGCUCAACCUCGCUCCGCCGUUGAAACUGGCGUUCUUGAGUGGGCGAGAAGUAUGCGGAAUGCGGGGUGUAGCGGUGAAAUGCAUAGAUAUCACGCAGAACUCCGAUUGCGAAGGCAGCAUACCGGCGCCCAACUGACGCUGAAGCACGAAAGCGUGGGUAUCGAACAGGAUUAGAUACCCCAGUAGUC
rnacentral:rRNA from 1 species